AGUGAACGCUGGCGGUAGGCCUAACACAUGCAAGUCGAACGGCAGCACAGUAAGAGCUUGCCCCUACGGGUGGCGAGUGGCGGACGGGUGAGGAAUACAUCGGCAUCUACUUUUUCGUGGGUGAUAACGUAGGGAAACUUACGCUACUACCGCAUAUGACCUACGGGUGAAAGCAGGGGAGCUUCGGACCUUUCGCGAUUGAAUGAGCCGAUGUCGGAUUAGCUAGUUGGCGGGGUAAAGGCCCACCAAGGCGACGAUCCGUAGCUGGUCUGAGAGGAUGAUCAGCCACACUGGAACUGAGACACGGUCCAGACUCCUACGGGAGGCAGCAGUGGGGAAUAUUGGACAAUGGGCGCAAGCCUGAUCCAGCCAUACCGCGUGAGUGAAGAAGGCCUUCGGGUUGUAAAGCCCUUUUGUUAGGAAAGAAAAGCAGCAGGUUAAUACCCCGCUGUUCUGACGGUACCCAAAGAAUAAGCACCGGCUAACUUCGUG
rnacentral:rRNA from 1 species